AGUAACACGUGGAUAAUCUACCCGACAGUCCGGGAUAACAUUUCGAAAGGGAUGCUAAUACCGGAUAAGCUCACGACGUCUUCGGACGAUGUGGGAAAAGGUGGGGACCUUCGGGCCUGCCGUUGUCGGAUGAGUCCGCGUCCCAUUAGCUAGUUGGUAGGGUAAUGGCCUACCAAGGCUACGAUGGGUAGCUGGUCUGAGAGGAUGAUCAGCCACACUGGAACUGAGACACGGUCCAG
rnacentral:rRNA from 1 species